AGGGUGUGUAGCCAGUGUGGGUAUCAAAGAACACUUCUUCAUUACUUCAGUGAUUGCACCAAAUGUAUCUGGAGUAUGAGCAAGGCCCUGCAUUCCAGUGGCUGGGGGUGAGUUCAGACUGGGGCACCUGCAGGAACGGUGGCUCACCAUGGGGGAAAUGUUGUGGCCAUCAUUAUGCCAGACUUUAUUUAUGACAGCUCUGUGGCACAGAAUGGGGAUGCAAUGGAACCAGAGUACAACAAAACGGAGAAUUUUGAAGACCACAACAAACCGUCCAAUUUCUCCAGCCCAAUGUAUGACAAUAUAAUAGAAUUAGAACCUGCUAAUCCCCCUAAAAAGGAUUAGAACCUGCUAAUCCCCCUAAUAGGAUUAGAACCUGCUAAUCCCUCUAAAAAAGGACAUUACCAGCCCCACUCACUCCAAUGGGGUAGCAGACAGCCAGUCAUCAGAGAUCACUGUCCAUAAAGAACUAUGUCCUUCAGUAACAGAAAAUGAUUACGACACUGUGUUUUAUUCACUAAUACCCCAUUCACACUAC